AACCUUUUCCCCUCCUUUUCUCCCCAUUUCCCACCCAGGACAUCAAAAGCACCUUCAUCAGGUGUGAGAACAUCAAAUUCCAGGAGCCCGAGAUGGUGCCGGUGGACGUGGGGAAGAAGUU